UGCUCGGUAGCUUAGUUGGUGAAGCGCUCGUCUAGCAUACAAGAGUCUUGGGUUUGAAUCAUAGCCGAGCAC
rnacentral:tRNA from 1 species